AUACGGAGGAUCCGAGCGUUAUCCGGAUUUAUUGGGUUUAAAGGGAGCGUAGGCGGGAGAUCAAGUCAGCUGUGAAAUGUAGGCGCUCAACGUGUGCACUGCAGUUGAAACUGGUUUUCUUGAGUGCGUAAGGGGCAGGCGGAAUUCGUCGUGUAGCGGUGAAAUGCUUAGAUAUGACGAAGAACUCCGAUCGCGAAGGCAGUUGGCCGGGCCGCAACUGACGCUGAAGCUCGAAGGUGCGGGUAUCGAACAGGAUUAGAUACCCUGGUAGUCCGCACAGUAAACGAUGGAUACUCGCUGUCGGCGAUAUACGGUCGGUGGCCAAGCGAAAGCGUUAAGUAUCCCACCUGGGGAGUACGCCGGCAACGGUGAAACUUAAAGGAAUUGACGGGG
rnacentral:rRNA from 1 species